AGUUCCAUAGUGUAGUGGUUAGUACGUCUGCUUUACAUGCAGAAGUUCCUGGGUUCCCACUCCAGUGGAGCCA
rfam:Pteropus alecto contig100488, whole genome shotgun sequence.